AUUGAACGCUGGCGGCAUGCCUUACACAUGCAAGUCGAACGGCAGCACGGGUGCUUGCACCUGGUGGCGAGUGGCGAACGGGUGAGUAAUAUAUCGGAACGUACCUUAUUGUGGGGGAUAACGCAGCGAAAGCUGUGCUAAUACCGCAUAAUCCCUAAGGGGGAAAGCGGGGGACCGUAAGGCCUCGCGCAAUUAGAGCGGCCGAUACCUGAUUAGCAAGUUGGUGAGGUAAAGGCUCACCAAGGAAACGAUCAGAAGCUGGUCUGAGAGGACGAUCAGCCACACUGGGACUGAGACACGGCCCAGACUCCUACGGGAGGCAGCAGUGGGGAAUUUUGGACAAUGGGGGCAACCCUGAUCCAGCAAUGCCGCGUGAGUGAAGAAGGCCUUCGGGUUGUAAAGCUCUUUUGUCAGGGAAGAAACAGCAGCUCUAACACAGUAUGCGAAUGACGGUACCUGAAGAAUAAGCACCGGCUAACUACGUGCCAGCAGCCGCGGUAA
rnacentral:rRNA from 1 species